rnacentral:rRNA from 1 species
GACGAACGCUGGCGGCGUGCUUAACGCAUGCAAGUCGAACGGAAAGGCCUCAGCUUGCUGGGGUACUCGAGUGGCGAACGGGUGAGUAACACGUGGGUGAUCUGCCUUGCACUCUGGGAUAAGCUUUGGAAACUGGGUCUAAUACCGGAUAUGAACUGCCUUUAGUGUGGUGGGUGGAAAGUUUUUUCGGUGCAAGAUGAGCUCGCGGCCUAUCAGCUUGUUGGUGGGGUAAUGGCCUACCAAGGCGUCGACGGGUAGCCGGCCUGAGAGGGUGUACGGCCACAUUGGGACUGAGAUCAGGCCCAGACUCCUACGGGAGGCAGCAGUGGGGAAUAUUGCACAAUGGGCGGAAGCCUGAUGCAGCGACGCCGCGUGGGGGAAGACGGCCUUCGGGUUGGAAACUCCUUUCGACAGGGACGAAGCUUUUUGUGACGGUACCUGUAUAAGAAGCACCGGCUAACUACGUG